rnacentral:lncRNA from 1 species
UGUUGCAGAUUUGGAGUUAACACUUCCAGGUUCUGACGAAAAGACUAAAGAAUCUGAAGAAGCAGAAAAGGAAACCUCAUAAGCACCUGAAGUUACAAUCAAUAAGAAAAGCCCAAGAAAUAAACAAAAUGUUUUUGAAGAAUUGAUUAUGGGAAACAAGAACGAACUUGUCAAAACAAGAUCAACAUUCAAAGGUUAUGAAGAAAUACUUAUGGGACUAGUA